rnacentral:rRNA from 1 species
GAUGAACGCUGGCGGCGUGCCUAAUACAUGCAAGUCGAACGCAUUGAGAGAAGUGCUUGCACUUUUCAAUUUGAGUGGCGAACGGGUGAGUAACACGUGGGCAACCUACCUGAUAGCGGGGGAUAACGAGUGGAAACAUUCGCUAAUACCGCAUAACAAUAGAGAAGGCAUCUUCUUUAUUUAAAAGGCGCUUUCAAGCGUCACUAUCAGAUGGGCCCGCGGUGCAUUAGUUAGUUGGCGGGGUGAAGGCCUACCAAGACGAUGAUGCAUAGCCGAGUUGAGAGACUGAUCGGCCACAUUGGGACUGAGACACGGCCCAAACUCCUACGGGAGGCUGCAGUAGGGAAUCUUCCACAAUGGACGAAAGUCUGAUGGAGCAACGCCGCGUGUGUGAUGAAGGCUUUCGGGUCGUAAGGCACUGUUGUAUGGGAAGAAAUGCUAGGCUAGGAAAUGAGCUUAGUUUGACGGUACCAUACCAGAAAGGGACGGCUAAAUACGUGCCAGCCGCCGCAGUAA